rnacentral:rRNA from 1 species
UGCCCGAACGUAACACGACACCACCGUCCGCCAAAUAACUACGAGUACAAACUUAAAAUUUAAAGGACUUGACGGUAUUUCACACUCAACCUAGAGGAGCCUGUCUACUAACCGAUAACCCACGAUUAACCCAACCGCUUCUAGCCCCCAGCCUAUAUACCACCGUCGCCAGCCUACCUUAUAAAAGAAACAAAGUGAGCUAAACAGUAAUACACUAAAACGACAGGUCAAGGUGUAGCUAAUGAAUCGGAUUAGGAUGGGCUACAUUUUCUAACCCAGACUAUACGAACCAGGCCAUGAAACAAGCCUUCGAAGGCGGAUUUAGUAGUAAGCCGAGAACAUAAUACUCAACUGAAACCAAUGCAAUGAAAUGCGU